ACCCGAACACGUCAGCCACCAACUCGUCUGCAGUAUUCAACACUUGGUCAUCCACUUCUGCAGAGCAUCCAGACCCUGUUUCAAGGACUUAGUACAAUCUUUACAUCUGCUCCGGAACUGGAUGAGACCUCUGUGACCUCUACAUCAUGUGACAGUGUGGUGUGUCACCAGCCGGUUGCAUGUACAAGGCCGCACAUGAGUUUAGGGGGGAAACCUGUAACCCGCAAUUAGUAAAGGACUUUUAUUUUUGCGGGCCCACUUCCUGUGUUGCCCAAACUCUGCUAACUUAUUUAAAGCCCCGCCUCCAGUGCGCAGAAAAAGAUCCUCACCUGUUCCACUGUGAUUGUGGCUUGCUGUUGGCAUCUUCCUCAAGAAUUCCUCCGAAAAUCUUUGAACCUAUUGAUUUGAUUGCUGGAAUCACUGGCAUUGUUUACCUGGACCGUCACCGGGAUUCUGUUAGUGCUGAUUGUGGCUAAGUACGCCCCACUCUCUUCAAAAAGAUCCUCAUCUGGAUCGAAAGAUGGCGAGCUAGGAAUGGACUAUGGACUUCAUGAUUUGGAAAUCAAUUUAUUCUGAGUCAAUUCUCGUGUGUCUCAUUGUGUUGUUGCAAUUGUAUGUUUUUU